rnacentral:lncRNA from 1 species
CUUCAUUAUUCUUAUUACAAGACCUAUGUUACAAAAAAUUAUACUCAAUUAUUUACUUUGGGUUUACAGUUAAAAUUUUGUAGCCAGGUGUGAUGUCAUGCACCUUAGUCCCAGCUAUUCUGGAGACUGAGGCAGGAGGAUCGCUUGAGCCCAGGAGCUCUGGGCUGUAGUGUGCUAUACCAAUUGUGUGUUCACACUCAGUUCAGCAUCAUUAUGGUGACUUCCUGGGAGCAAGGGACCACCAGGUUGCCUAAGGAGGGGUAAACCAGCCCAGGUCAGAAAUGGAGCAGGUUAAAACUCCUGUGCUGAUUGGUAGUGGGGUCGCACCUGUGAAUAGCCACUGCACUCCAGCCUGGGCAACUUCAUGAGACCCCAUCUCUUUAAAAAAACAAAAACAAAAACAGGCCGGGCAUGGUGGCUCAUGCCUGUAAUUCUAGCACUUUGGGAGGCCUAGGUGGGCAGAUUGCCUGAGCUCAGGAGUUAAAGACCAGCCUGGGCAACACGGUGAAAUCCUGCCUCUACUAAAAUUUAAAAAAAAAUUAGCUGGGCGUGGCGGUGGGUGCCUGUAGUCCCAUCUACUUGGGACACUGAGGCAGGAGAAUUGCUGGAACCCAGGAGGUGGAGGUUGCAGUGAGCCGAGAUCGCACCACUGCACUCCAGCCUGGGCAACAGAGUGAGAUUCCAUCUCUAAAAACAACAACAACAACAACAACAAAUAUCUUGUAGAAACACAUUUCAUCGCUUGUUAUAUGAAUACCUGCAUAAUAUCCUGGACUUUGCCUUUCUGCCUGCAAGCCUCUGUCAGCCCUCAAUUAAUGAGUUGUCUUAUCUUCCACCUCAAAUCUAUCUUAAGCUAUCCACCCUCCACUUUGCAGCCAGAAGGAUCUUUCUAAUGUAAGUCUGACCAUACCAUUCACCUGAUUCAAACUUCCCAGUGGUCUAUCUGUCCAGCUCCUUGGCUGGCAUACAGCCCGCACAGUCUGGUUUCUGUCUUCCUUCCCAGCCACUCUCUACCCUCCAGCCAUAUUGAACUUCCAGUUCUCUAGGGCACCUUGCUUCCCCCAGGACCAGCAUUUUACACAAGCUGUUCCCUCUGCCUAAGAUGCUGUUCACUACUCAAAUUCAAUUCCUCCUUAGUCUUUUAAGUCAUUUUAGACAUUAACU